UCCAGGGUAGCCUAGUGGACAUGGCAUCUGCCCGGUAAGCGGAACAAUGUGGGUUCGAUUCCCAUCCCUGGAU